CCUACGGGAGGCAGCAGUGGGGGAUAUUGCACAAUGGGGGGAACCCUGAUGCAGCGACGCCGCGUGGGUGAAGAAGUAAUUCGUUGCGUAAAGCUCUGUCAGCAGGGAAGAAAAUGACGGUACCUGAAUAAGAAGCCCCGGCUAACUACGUGCCAGCAGCCGCGGUAAUACGUAGGGGGCAAGCGUUAUCCGGAUUUACUGGGUGUAAAGGGGGCGUAGACGGCGAUGCAAGUCUGGAGUGAAAGGCCGCGGCUCAACUGCGGGACUGCUUUUGAAACUGCGUGGCUGGAGUGCAGGAGGGGCAAGCGGAAUUCCUAGUGUAGCGGUGAAAUGCGUAGAUAUCAGGAGGAACACCGGUGGCGAAGGCGGCUUACUGGACUGCAACUGACGUUGAGGCUCGAAAGCGUGGGGAGCAAACAGGAUUAGAUACCCCGGUAGUC
rnacentral:rRNA from 1 species